GGCUGUCAGGGGUCUGGUCAGGAAGGGGUGCUGACUAGAGCAGCAUCUAUAGGGUGAAAUGCAAAGAAACCAACAUACAUACAAAUCAAGGCAAAAUAAGUGUAUUGAUAUUCAUAAGGAAGACAGGCCAAUCCCCGGAGUGAUUAAGGAGGGGGAGCAUGGCUGCUGCCCAGAGAGGUUGGCAUAGUAACAAAAUUGUUACAAUGUUUAUUACAGAGCCG